CAGGGCUUUCGUCUUGUAAUUGGAAUGAUGGUGAUGUACAACCUCACCAGAGUACCAAUUGGAGGGCAAGUCUGGUGCCAGCAGCCGCGGUAAUUCCAGCUCCAAUAGCGUAUAUUAAACUUGUUGCAGUUAAAAAGCUCGUAGUUGUAUUUCAGCCUCGCGUUUUUUCCCUCGUUUUGGGUCUUUUCGCUGGCUUUGUUUUUACUUUGAGAAAAUUAGAGUGUUUCAAGCAGACUUUUGUCUUGAAUACUUCAGCAUGGAAUAAUAGAGUAGGACCUUGGUUCUAUUUUGUUGGUUUUGAGCCUUGGUAAUGGUUAAUAGGAACGGUUGGGGGCAUUCGUAUUUAACUGUCAGAGGUGAAAUUCUUAGAUUUGUUAAAGACGAACCACUGCGAAAGCAUUUGCCAAGGACGUUUUCAUUAAUCAAGAAC
rnacentral:rRNA from 1 species